rnacentral:rRNA from 1 species
CCUACGGGAGGCAGCAGUGGGGAAUAUUGCACAAUGGGGGAAACCCUGAUGCAGCAACGCCGCGUGAGUGAAGAAGUAUUUCGGUAUGUAAAGCUCUAUCAGCAGGGAAGAGAAUGACGGUACCUGACUAAGAAGCCCCGGCUAACUACGUGCCAGCAGCCGCGGUAAUACGUAGGGGGCAAGCGUUAUCCGGAUUUACUGGGUGUAAAGGGAGCGUAGACGGCUGGCCAAGUCUGAAGUGAAAGCCCGGGGCUUAACCCCGGAACGGCUUUGGAAACUGGCCGGCUGGAGUGCUGGAGAGGCAGGCGGAAUUCCUGGUGUAGCGGUGAAAUGCUUAGAGAUCAUACAGAACACCGAUUGCGAAGGCAGCUUACCAAGCUACUUCUGACGUUGAGGCACGAAAGCGUGGGGAGCAAACAGGAUUAGAUACCCGUGUAGUC